ensembl:lncRNA
CGCCCGCCCUUUGCCCCCCCCACCCCCACCGCGGGGUCCGAACGCAGCGACCCGCGAGGGGGGCGUGGCCUUUUCGGGGGGGCGUGGCCGGCGGGGAAAGGGGGCGUGGCCAGGUGAGAAAAGGGGCGGAGCCGCGCGGCUCUUAAAGGGACCGCAGCACCGCGCCGCCCCCCCGCGGGGCCGCGAUGAGUUACCGGGUGUGCGCGUGGGGGCGGCGGCACGCGUGGGACGUCACGAGGAUGGUGACGGGCUCCUGGCUGAUGGGUUCGGCCCGCGCCCCAAAUUCGGCUGUUUGGUGGCGGAGGCGGCGGGAGAGGAGGGUAAUGGGGGGGGG